CGAGCUACCUCCACUCAAUUGCCCUUGUGAGCUGGUAUCAACAUUAGACCACUGCCCAUUUGAACUAAAACUUUCAAUCUUUGAAAUGGCAAAAACCCGAUUUCGCCUUGGCUUGUGAAACCCCUCUUUUUUUCUCAACUGAUUACCAUUUCCACCAGAAAGAACAAGAAAGCUAGCUUUGUGCCCCACAAAUACCUUCACUGAACCAAUAUUGGAAGAAACUCUAACCCUAACUUUAGACCCAAAAGUAUAGUUAUUUCUGCUCUCCCUAUCCACACAUUGAGAUGAGCAUAACCCUUCAUGGGUUUUCUGUGUGGGCACUAUUAAAUCCAUAAAAUACCCUUUUUUAUCUUCUAACAGAGAUUAUACAUGCUUUACAGAUAAUAAAUUGAAAGAGGAUUGCAACAGUAUGUAGCUAUUCUUAUGUGUUUUGUGCAGAAAAGAUAUUUAACCAAAGAGAGAAAAAAAUAGGGAGGAGAGAGAAAGCUUACUAAAGAGCUCCUGCGAAUUGAAAACGCAGAUAGGAAAAGAAGGAAGAAGAAUGUGCCGCCUUUGCUUAUCCAAAUUUUAGUUCUUUCGAG
rnacentral:lncRNA from 1 species